rnacentral:rRNA from 1 species
AUUGAACGCUGGCGGCAGGCCUUACACAUGCAAGUCGAACGAGUGGCGGACGGGUGAGUAAUGUCUGGGAAACUGCCUGAUGGAGGGGGAUAACUACUGGAAACGGUAGCUAAUACCGCAUACCAUCAGAUGUGCCCAGAUGGGAUUAGCUUGUUGGUGGGGUAAAGGCUCACCAAGGCGACGAUCCCUAGCUGGUUUGAGAGGAUGACCAGACACACUGGCACUGAGACACGGUCCAGACUCCUACGGGAGGCAGCAGGGGGGAAUAUUGCACAAUGGGGGAAAGCCUGAUGCAGCCAUGCCGCGUGUAUGAAGAAGGCCUUCGGGUUGUAAAGUACUUUUAGCGGGGAGGCGUUACCCGCAGAAUAAGCACCGGCUAACUCCGUGCCAGCCGCCGCGGUAAUAC